rnacentral:rRNA from 1 species
UACGGGGGGGGGCAAGCGUUGUUCGGAAUUACUGGGCGUAAAGCGUGCGCAGGCGGUUUUGUAAGACAGGCGUGAAAUCCCCCGAGCUCAACUUGGGAAUUGCGCUUGUGACUGCAAGGCUAGAGUGUGUCAGGAGGGGGGUAGAAUUCCACGUGUAGCAGUGAAAUGCGUAGAGAUGUGGAGGAAUACCGAUGCGAAGGCAGCCCCCCUGGGACAUGACUACGCUCAUGCACGAAAGCGUGGG